CUGGGGUGGGGACCCUCCACAGCAGGGGAUGGCUACCUGGAGGCCUAUCAGGCCUCUCCUCCCAGCCCACCUUUGAGCUAUGCUGUCCCCAUAACCUUGCCCAUAUCUGACUGCAGGGCAUGUUCAGACGGUCCCAUCUCUGUAGGAAACCUGGGUCUUAAGUGUUUUUAGCUCAGGGCCUUGCUUUGCUCUGAGCUUCUGGAUUCAGGAUGAUCACGGGCUUACAUUUCAGCACCUCUCAGAACACAGGAGGAUUUCAGCUCUGGUCUUCUAGAUGAUAACAGCCAGGAGGAGCUGUCUGAUGGCGAGAAUUUCAAGCCCCAGUUAAGGUGCCUCGGAAGGGGAGUUCAACCGGGAAAUCUGGUACUCCACGACCUUGCACGUAGGAGCCACUCAAAAGUGUUUGCUGAACUUAA